AUUGAACGCUGGCGGCAUGCUUUACGCAUGCAAGUCGAACGGUAACAGGCCGCAAGGUGCUGACGAGUGGCGAACGGGUGAGUAAUGCAUCGGAACGUGCCCAGUCGUGGGGGAUAACUACUCGAAAGAGUAGCUAAUACCGCAUACGAUCUAUGGAUGAAAGCGGGGGACCGUAAGGCCUCGCGCGAUUGGAGCGGCCGAUGUCAGAUUAGGUAGUUGGUGGGGUAAAGGCUCACCAAGCCAACGAUCUGUAGCUGGUCUGAGAGGACGACCAGCCACACUGGGACUGAGACACGGCCCAGACUCCUACGGGAGGCAGCAGUGGGGAAUUUUGGACAAUGGGCGCAAGCCUGAUCCAGCAAUGCCGCGUGCAGGAAGAAGGCCUUCGGGUUGUAAACUGCUUUUGUACGGAACGAAACGGCUCUGGUUAAUACCCGGGGCUAAUGACGGUACCGUAAGAAUAAGCACCGGCUAACUACGUG
rnacentral:rRNA from 1 species